CCAAUAGCGUAUAUUAAAGUUGUUGCAGUUAAAAAGCUCGUAGUUGAAUUUCGGGACUAAUAUGUCGGUCGUACUUUGUACGUACUAGCAUUAUUGGUUUCUCCCUUCUGACGAACCACGAUGUCAUUAAUUUGGUGUCUUGGGAAAUCAGGACUGUUACUUUGAAAAAAUUAGAGUGUUUAAAGCAAGCUCGCGCUUGAAUACAUUAGCAUGGAAUAAUGAAAUAGGACGUUUGAUUCUAUUUUGUUGGUUUCUAGGAUCGACGUAAUGAUUAAUAGGGAUAGUUGGGGGCAUUAGUAUUCAAUUGUCAGAGGUGAAAUUCUUGGAUUUAUUGAAGACUAACUACUGCGAAAGCAUUUGCCAAGGAUGUUUUCAUUAAUCAAGAACGAAAGUUAGGGGAUCGAAGACGAUCAGAUACCGUCGUAGUCUUAACCAUAAACUAUGCCGACUAGGGAUCGGAUGAUGUUAAUUUUUUAAUGACUCAUUCGGCGCCUUACG
rnacentral:rRNA from 1 species